rfam:TPA: Bos taurus chromosome 12, whole genome shotgun sequence.
UCCCUGGUGGCUCAGAUGGUAAAGCGUCUGCCUGCAAUGCAGGAGACCCGGGUUCGAUCCCCGAGUCAGGAA